CGUCGUCGUGCCCCCCGACGACCCCCCCAAGCACCCCGCGGUGGUCCACCCGGACCCCGUAAAGAAGCCCACCAUCUUCUGGAUGGAGGAGCCCGCUCCCAACCUCCCCUCCAUCAUGGGCGUCCCGACCCGCCCCAAGCAGCCCCUGCGUCUGCCCACCCCGGGGAGGCGCAGCAGGUCGGAGCCCCGAAGUUCGAAGCCCCUUCUCCUAAUGCGGGACGCUGCUGCUCCGGCUCCCGACAGCUCGGGAACCCCUCCUUCUCCCGCUCCCGACAGCUCUACGGCCCUUCUUUCACCCGCCCCCGACAGCUCAGGGACCCCUCCUUCUCCCGCCCCCGACAGCUCGGGGACCCUUCCUGCCCCCACCCCCGACAGCUCUGCAACCCCUCCUUCCCCCGCCCCAGACAGCUCAGGGACCCUCCUUUCCCUCGCCCCCGACAGCUCAGCGAUACCUCCUUCCCCCUCACCUGCCAACUCGGUGAUCCGCCUUUCUCCCGCCCCCGACAGCUCUGCGCCCCUUCCUUCCCCGGUCCCCGACAGCUCUGCGCCCCUUCCUUCAGCCCCAGACAGCUCUGUCGCAACUCCUUCCCUGGCUCCCCACAGCUCCGCCACCCCUCCUUCCGUCCCCGACAGCUCUGUGACCCCUCCUUCCCUGGCCCCCGACAGCUCUGCGAGCCCGCCUUCCAUCCCCGACAGCUCGGGGACCCUUCUUUCCCCAGCCCCGGACAGCUCGAUGGCCCCACCUUUCCCCGCCCCCGACAGCUCGGUGAACCCUUUUUUCCCUGCCCCCGACAGCUCGGUGACCCCUCCUUCCGCCCCCGACAGCUCGGGGACCCCUUACAGUUCUGGGUCCCCCCCCAGCCGAGGCUCCAGCAUUGCCUCCAGGGGCCACUUGGGGACUCCUGCUGCUCCCCACCUGGUGCUCACUCCCGGGAGUCGCUCGGAAACCCCUCCCAGUUUCCGCGCAGUGCUCACCUCCGGGAGUCACUGGGUAAACCAUUCUAGUCCCCACCCCGUGCUCACCUCCGGGAGUCACUCGGGGAGUCCUCCUAGUCCCCGGGCUGUGCUCAUAUUCAGGAGUCACUCGGGGAGUCGUCCUAGUCCCCGGGCCGUGCUCACCUCCGGGAGUCGCAAGGGGAGUCCUCCUAGUCCCCGCGCCGUGCUCACCUCCAGGAGGCCCUCGGGGAGCCCUCCGAGUCACGCGGGGAGUCCUCCUAGUCCCCGAGCUGUGCUCAGACCUGGGAAUGUGAGGACCCCUCCUGGUUCUCAAGCCGGGCUCCCCUCUGAGAAUUAUUUGUCGACAUCUGUCUCGGGGACUCCUCCUAGCCUGCGCGCGCUCAUGGCUUCUAGAGGCGGUCUGGAGCCCCCUCCUCACCCCAAAAGACUCAGCAUCUCAGGGGGACCCGCGAAGCCCCCUUCUCAUCCGGGGGGCCUUAGCAUCUUUAGGAAGCGUCUGGAAGCCCCUGCUCCCCCGCAAACCCUCAGCGUCUCUGGGAGUCGUCCAGAGCCCCUUCCUCGGGCCAAAGCCCCCACUUUAAAAUCCCUCCUCAAGCGCCCCAACAAGGUGACGGAGGCUUUGGCGGCUGAGGCCGCCCGGCCCUACUGGAUCACUGUCCUGAAGAACCACAGGGACCCUGGCCCCAAGACGGAGCCUUUGGUUUACCCCUCCCUCCUCAAGGCUGAUCCUCCUCCUCCUCUGCCCUUCAUCAUAGUGUCUGAGCCCCAACAAACUCCACCCCCUUUCUUCAAGAGUGAGCCUCAGAUGCCCGUUCCCUCUAACGUCAGUUCUGAGGGUCUUCCUUGCCCCCCCAUCUUCUAUAUUGAGCCUUCAGUUCGCGUCCCCCCCAUCAUCAGGUUCGAGUCCCCCAUCCUCAGACCUGAGACUCCUCCCGACUCCUCCAGUUCAGAGCCUCUUCCCGACUCCUCCAAUAGCUCUGAGCCUACUCCUGACUCCUCUAGUUCUGAGCCUACUCUCGACUCCAUCAGCAGGGCUGAGCCUCCUCCAGACUCCAUCAUCACCAGGGAUGAGCCUCCUCCCGACUUCUCCAUUGGCUCUGAGCCGCCUCCUGACUCCAUCACCAGGGCUGAGCCGCCUCCUGACUCCAUCUCUAAGCUGGAUUCUUCCAUCACCUCUGAGCCUACUUCUGACAACCCCAUGAGCUCUGAGCCGCCUCCUGACUCCAUCCCCAAGGCUGAGCCUCCUCCCGACUCCUCCAUCCCCUCUGAGCUUUCUCCUGACUCCCCCAUCACCUCUGAACCUCCUCCCGACUCCCCCAUCACCUCUGAACCUCCUCCCGAUGCCAUCACCUCUGAGCCUCCUCCCGAUUCUCCCAUCAUCAGCUCUGAACCCGAUUCUUCCAUCAAUUCUAAGCCUACUUCUGACUCCAAUGCUGAGCCUCCUCCCAACUCCGCCAUCAUCAGCUCUGAGCCCCCUCCUGACUCUCCCAUCAUCAGCUCUGAGCUUCCUCCUGACUCCAUUUCCAAGACUAAACUUUCUCUUGAUCCUUUUAUCAACAGCUUUGAGCCCUCUUCAAGCCAUUAGUUUUGAACCCCUUAUUCCUCUCCCCUCAUCUCUGAACCCUCUCUUCACCCCACUCUCCCAUCAACAGCUCUCAGCUCCCUUCUUACCCCAAUCAGGAUCUCCUCUCCGGUUCCUCCAUCAGCUACAUUAGCUUUGAGCUAAUUUAUCCUCCCUCUCUUCUAUUGCCUCUGAUCCCCCUCCCUAUACCACACUUAUUAUACCUCUGGGCCCCCUUUUCUCCUCCCUUCCAUCAUUAGCUCUGAACCCCCUAUUCCUUUACAACCAUCAUUGAUCCUGAGCCCCCUCCUCACCCCUCCAUAAGUUCUCAGCCUCUUUUCCAUUCCUUAUUAUCAGAUCUUAACCCCUUAAUUAGUUUUGAGCCCCUUUUCAGAACUUUACUUUUUCCUGUACUAAGCACUGAGCCUGAAAGACCCUAGUCCUCCCUGUUCUAGGCCUCGUCUUCUCUAACUCUGAGCCCCCUUUUUCUCACUAUCUUUAUUCCCCUCAGCUUUGAGCCAGUCCUCAGGACCCCUGAGACCCCUUUAGCUCUGAGCCCUCUUUUCAUCUUCUUCUCCCAGCUCCAAAUAGACAUUUUCUAGCCUCCUUAAACACAAAUUGCCCCUACCCUAGCUCUGAGCUUCAUGUCCCCCCCUUGCUCAGAUUAGCCUUUCCAGCUCCAAUUCCCAUUCUUCCCUUUCAACAUUGCCCCAUUUUCCAAGUCUCUCUUGCUCCUAUCCUUGCAUGGCCCUGUUCCCCCUUGGCAGAGACACAGAAGAAAGGAUCCCUAGGUUUCCCCAGACUACCCCGUUGGUCCAGGAUACAAAAAACACUAACCCCUCCCUCCCAACCUCAAGGAGACCUUUUCUGGAAACAAAGCGUAUCUGCUUCUGCCUUGCCUCAGAAACAAAAGACAUGGACCAAAGGAAGACCCAAAGUUGAGCAUGUGUUGAGCUGCAGUCAACAAGACUCGCUUCCUGGUGCUGACAUGCAUUCAGCUCCCCAAGUGAAGAUCCCAGCUAGAGAGAUGGUGUCGCUUAAUAAGAAGUCCGUGACAUUCAAGGAUGUUGCUGUGGAUUUCACCGAGGAGGAAUGGAGACGCCUGAACCCUGCUCAGAGGCAGCUGUACAGGGAUGUGAUGCUGGAGAACUACAGAAACCUAAUUUUUCUAGAUUGGGAGACUAAUCCUGAAACCAAGGAGUUGACUCCAAAACUAGACAUGUCUGUGGAAGAGUUGUCCCUGCAAAGCUUCACAAAGAUUAGUCCCCAUGACCACAGGUUGGGAGAUACCUGGGAAUAUGGUGUCAAGUUUGAGGGACAGCAGGACAAGCUAGAGAAAGAUUCCGUACAAGUAACAGUCACCCAAAGAAAAGUUCCUAAUAAACUGAGGAGCCACGAAUGUAACAAAUUUGGAAGAAGCUUUAAUUUUGGGUCAGUCCUUGUUCCACCCCAGAAAAUUCCUAUGAAAAAGAGUUUGCGUAAAUAUACUCCAUAUGGAAGAAGCCUCAAACAGUAUUCCAGCUUGAUGAAAUGUAGUAGAAUCUCCUCUGAAACUUGUAAGGGUAAUGAGUCAAGCAAAGUCUUCUGUUACUAUUCAGACUUUCAUCAAAAUCAUACAGUACAGAUGGGGAAAAAAGCUUAUAAAUAUGAAAGUGAAAAGGCAUUUAGCCAGAAUAUACACAUCACUCAGAAUCAGAGAAUUAGUCCUGGACAAAAGUCUUAUACAUGUUAUGAACCUGCUCAGGUCUUUGCCCACAACGCAUCCUUCACUACACAUCUGAAAGUCCAUAUUGGAGAGAAACCUUAUAAAUGUAAUGACUGUGGGAAAAUCUUUGGCUACAUUUCAUCCCUUAUUAAUCAUCGGAGAAUACAUACUGAAGAGAAGCCCUAUGCGUGUAAUUCCUGCGGAAAGUCUUUCAGAGAUAGGUCAUACCUUACUCAACACCAGAGAAUUCACACUGGAGAGAAACCCUAUAAGUGUGAUGAAUGUGGAAAAGUAUUUAUACGAGGUACACAUCUUACUCGACACCAGAGAAUCCACACUGGAGAGAAACCCUAUCAUUGUAAUGAAUGUGGAAAAGCCUUCAAUCAGAGCACACACCUUAUUCAGCACCAGAGAAUUCAUACUGGGGAGAAACCCUAUAAAUGUAACAUAUGUGGAAAAGCCUUCAGCCAGAGCGCUUACGUUGUUCAGCAUCAGAGACGUCACACGGGAGAGUACCCCCAUAAAUGUGACGAAUGUGGGAAAGCUUUUAGCCAAAGAUCAUCUCUCAUUGAGCAUCAGAGAAUCCAUACUGGAGAGAAACCCUGUGUGUGCAACGAAUGUGGCAGAGCAUUUAGGAGUUACCCAUCUCUUACUAAACAUCAGAGAAUUCAUACCGGAGAGAAGCCCUAUUUGUGUAAUGAAUGUGGGAAAGCCUUUAGCCGAAGUGCUUACCUUACUCAACAUCAAAGAAUUCAUACUGGAGAGAAGCCCUUUAAUUGUAUUGAAUGUGGGAAAAGCUUCAUCCGGAGUGCACACCUUAUUGAACACAAAAGAAUUCACACUGGAGAGAAACCCUAUGAAUGCAGUGUAUGUGGAAAAGCCUUCAGCAAUCGCUCAUCUGUCACUAAACAUCAAAAAAUUCACACUCAAGGAAAACACUAUGAAUGCUGUGAGUGUGGAAACACUUUUAUUAAGAAAUCAUUACUUAUUCAACAUCGAAAACUCCACCUUGGAAAGUAAUUGUAAAUACAGACUAUGGGAAAGUUUCAGCCACAGCAACCAUUAACUAUGUAUAUUCAUGAGAGAAUUCACACUGUCAGAAAUCUCCAUUGAUGAAAUGAAUAUUGGAUAGGCUUCCGAUGCAGAUAAUCAUUUGAAAAUUCAAGACUAAAGAAUAAUCGUGGGAUUCUAAAGAUUUAUGAUCUUGUUGAUGUGGGUACUUUUCCUGAUGUAGAUGUUAAUAUUGCCCUACUUUAAUACAGUUUAUAUGAUAGAAAGAACCUCGUUUAUAUAGUCAGGAUUUUGCUCAGUCAUUUUUUGUCACGUCUGCUACUUCAUGACCCCACUUGGGUUUUCUGGGAAAAAAGAAUAUGUGGGUUCAAAUCACAGUUCUUCUAUUUUCUGUUUUCAUGACCUUCAGCAAUCCCUUCCCCCCUCUGAGCCUCAGUUUCCUCACAUGAUGGGGGUGGACUAGAUGAACUCUUAAGGUUUCUUGAAGAUCUAAAUUCUGUGAUCCUAUGAAUUGUCAUGGUCAAAAACCAAAUCAUUACCUGCUGUCGAGCUUCUGGUGAUGAACCUGCUUAUGCUUAAGUAGGCUGGUCCUUGGAUUGCAAACCCAUCUUGGAUCACAUGAUUGUCCCCUACUCAAAGGAAUUCCAACUUAAUCAGAGCUGCCAAAGCUUGUGUUCCUCUGAUAUGUCUAUCCAGGGUCACCUCCACAUCGCGCUGAGUCGCCAGAGUAGGAUCUUCGCCUCCAGCUCCUGACUCUCGGGCCCAUCAUGUCCACCUGGGGCUCAUUCUUCUAGGCUCUUCUUGGUGCCCACGAGUUCCCAGAGGCAGAUCUGACGGCUCGUCAUCUCUCAUGGAGGACGUUCCCAAACUUGGCAAAAUGACAGAUCCUUGACAUGCUGAGGAUUGUUUCAGUUACAAGUAUUAAGCAUCUUCGGUAUGCCAGGCAUGGAGGGCACAAGUAGAACCAGUGACCCCCAGGCACCAGGGAGUCGCCGAGAGGGGAAACUUGAGCACAGAGAGCGUUAGGCAGGUGACGGGCAGUCGGGGAAGGAUGGCUGGAGAGACGGCGAGCACCGGAGAGGAGUGAGACCAUCGGGUGGCUUGUGUAAGGGGCUUCGCCCUGCCCAGCCUCCUUCCACAGUGGAGGCUGAGUCCUGGGCAGGGAGGAAGAGCGGGAGGGGGGGCCGAGGCUGGCCCAAAUGCUCUGAGAGCUUCCAGGCCAUGAGCCUUUGGAUUGGAGCAGAAAACUCGCUUUUUCUGCUAAUAAACCGAUGGGAAAGUGCCAGGUCCGGCAGCCUCCUUGCCUUUGGAGGCCCAUAUCCGACAGCUUGCCUUUCUGUGGCCUGGACACUUCUGGUAAUAAAACAUUUAACAAUGUUCCCACUAUGGGGUGGCUAAGGACAUGAGGAGGGGGAUCAGGCAGCCAGGAGACACGGCCCCUGGUGGAGGCGCUGGGUUCAGACCCAAGUGCCCUGGGAGUCCUUCCUGCUGAGAGUCCCCAUAGAUCCUCCAGAGGGCCUCCUGGAGGAAGUGGCACUGGAGUCUUAAGGGGGAAGGAGAGCCUAGAAUAUCAGCGAAAUGGGAACAAAGGCACCGAGGUGCUGGGGAGGUGAGGCUGGAGUAGAGUGCCUGAGAACAGAUAGAUGGGGGAGUGAGGGUGAGACUGGGGACCCUUGCCAUCUGAAGAGCAGAGCCUUUGAAAAUGGAAUCCCCUGUCCCUCUGAAAAUGGCAUGCCCCCCGAGUUUCCAAGUUUAGGAGGGAAAAGUUGUGCACCCCUCUUUGGUUUUCAGCUCCCUCUCCCUAAGUGCUGGUCAUCAGAUGGCUUCUGUUGGGAAGAGCAGUGGUUAGAGCCCUGGGCCUGUUGCGGGAGUGAGACAGCCUCUGCUUGCCUCAGUUUCUUCCUCUGUAAAGAGGGUAUAACAGGUCCUCCCUAACAAGGUCAUAGCAAGGAAUUGGUGACCUCGGCUUGCAAGGGCUCAGUGUGGCUGCCAGCCCUGAAGCAGCUCCCUCUGGUGAUCUUAUUUCUCCCCUUUAUCUGUCUCCCCCCUUCCAAUGGUUUGCCCCUGGGAGUGUGUGUCCAGUGGGCAAUGGCAGCAUCUGGGCCAAGGGCCCCUCAGGCUCUGCCUUUGUUAGGAGGAGAGUGGCUAAACCAAAGCCUUUGCCUUCCCCUGGGACUGACCCAGCCGGGCAUUGCCCUCCAGGAAGCUCAGCUUCAGGCCUUGGGGCCCAUGGGCUCUGGCCUGGUGAUGGGGAGCAGGGCCUGACUUCCAUGCUCCAGAGGGACCCAAGCAUGGGGCGGCCCCAGGAUAGGGGCCCUUCUGAUCUGGGGGGGAGGAGAGAGGAAUGGAACUGGUGCAGAGGAGGAGGGGUGGGUUAGUCGUGGGGAGCCCAUUGGGGACGAGUCCUCAGACUGUGGGGCUGGGGUGCAGAAGGGCUUAACAAUGGAGAGGGCCCUCGGGCUCCAGUUGAGAUUCUGAGUUCUCUUUGUACUCCAUGUUGUUCCCUUACAG
rnacentral:lncRNA from 1 species